AAUUCAUUAAUUACUACUUGGAUUAAUCAUUAUUAAUCCUUGCAGUCGAUCGAAACAUAAUUAAUUGCUGCUAAGAUUUUUCAGCUUCUUCCUACAAUAAGCCGCUUUGUCAUCUUUGGGGUUGUCCAAGAAGCCAUUAAACAUUACUCAGUUUUUGGCCUUGAAAUGAACUUGUCGUGGGGGAAUUUGAUGACCCUUUUUUUUUUAUCUAACAACAGUAAUUCGAAAACUUAUUCCCCAAAAGUCUUGCAUUUCUAACUUAAUUCCCAGUCACCACUGGUUUCUUGCCACUAUAUCUCUGUCUUUGCCUGUUGCCGUAUUGUUGUAGGUUAUGAGAACAGCUGGUAGGGGCUUAAGAACAACAAAUAGACUUACCAAGUUAAUAACUUUGAGGUGGUCGAACUGUUGCAUUUUCUAAGAGAGAAAAAUUUUAUGGCUCAUGGGUUGGCUUAAAAUUUGUUGCUUGCUUGGUUCUGAGGGGAUGGCGGUAAAAAUUUCGCUUGUUUGCACUUGCAGGGCUGCCACCAUCAGAGCGCAAAGGAUUAGAGUCCCAAACUUUGUGUAGCUCAAAACUCCUCUCCAUAUCGAAUGAAGGAGGAGACUCACGCUGACUAAAGGGCUGGCUUCAGGUCUGGAGAGAUUUCCUUUUCACGAGGAAGCAUUGCAUCCGUUUUAGUUCGAUAUGCAUCUGCCUUACUUGAUCCUCUACUCCCCAUAGCAGUGAAGCCUCCUGAAUAAGUAGGUCGGCAAGCCUUUCUACAAGAAAAGACACCACGGACUCAGCCAUGUU